rnacentral:rRNA from 1 species
GAUGAACGCUGGCGGCGUGCUUAAUACAUGCAAGUCGAACGGUGAAGGGGUCUGCUUUCGUGGGCGCUGGAUGAGUGGCGAACGUGUGAGUAACACGUGAGUACCCUGCCUAAUUCUUGUGGAUAUCCGCAUGAAAGGGUGGCUAAUACGGGAACUUCUGGGUCUGUCGCAUGCAGGGUCUGGGGACGAUCGUGCCUUUGGGUGUUGUUGGUGGGGGAUGGGAUUGCGGCGUAGGCGAUUGAUGGGAAGGUGACGGCAUAGCAAGGCAACGACGGGUAGCGGACCUGAGAGGGUGAUCGGCAACACUGGAAUGGAGACACGGUCCAGACUACUACGGGAGGCAGCAGUAGGGAAUCUUCCGCAAUGGGCGAAAGCCUGACGGAGCAACGCCGCGUGAGGGAAGAAGGUCUUGGGAUCGUAAAACUCUGUUAUUAGGGAAGAACAACAGUGUAAGUACCUAUGCACGUCUUGACGGUACCUAAUCAGAAAGCCACGGCUAACUACGCG